GGACAUCAUCGAAGGAUGAAUCAAAUAAGCAAUGGGAACAACAACAACAACAACAACAACAUACUACGGGAGGAGGAUGGUAUUAUCGUGGAAGAGGAUUACGCACGACGUCGUUCCAUUGAGG
rnacentral:ribozyme from 1 species